AUGUCAAAGUGCUGAGCAUUGACGAAGUAUACUUUCUUUUGCUGUCGAGACGCUGUCCGAGUAAGUUUAAUUUACUCAUUUCUGGGUACUUUCUUAACGUGACAUUUUUGAUCAUAGACAUGGAUUUUUGGUUUGUUUGAUGUUGGAGCUGCUAAUGGUGUUGAUGCAGCGUUCAUGGUGUGAGCAGUGGUUUUGCAGUAAUUUUCCAGUCGAGAUGUCUUGAAAUGGAGCUUGUGCAGACAUUCAGUUCAACAUCAUACUUCAAUGUGUUAUUUGCCCAUGCUGGUGUUCUUGCAGUGUUGAACCGUUGUGCAAAAUAGUCGAUGUUGCCUGGUGGCUGUCGAGUAUGUUUUAUCGGCUGCCUUUUGUCGAUGUGUCGUCUCGUCACUUGCCACCUGUACACACGUUAAGUUACUACACCGAGGCUCAAACUUACUGCAUCACCAACGCGGCCGAAAACUACGCCGAAGCGCCUGAGUUAUACUCUGCCCCAAGCUAACAACCACAACUGAGGUGGCCGAGUACUUCGUAGCCCCGAAUUACUACGUAGCUGCUUCUUCGUACUACGUUGAACUAAAAUACUACACACUGAGACUUCAGUCUACAACACCACAACCAACGCUUCACUUAACUACUAAACCGAAGUCCCUUAGUACUACAUCGAAAAGGUCGAAUAUCACAUAGCCACGUACGGUGCUCCAGAUUACUAUCUCGAGGAACCUAAUUGAUUAAAGGAGAGAAAGGGGAAAGGAAUCAGUCGAUAGAUAAUAUCCAACACGGUCACAGUAAAUGCAGUGCACCAUUCGUCAUCAACUGCCAUCUUUGUUGUAUCACUAGUUCGCAAUCAAGGGUUACUAUGGCGCCAUGAUGUGUUAGGUGUUGUAUCGUUGAUGGCUGGGUCAACCGCGGUUUUACCGAUGUUUCGUGUGUAUGGUGGAUAUCAAGCGACAGCAGCGAAAGAACUACACCACGUCGCCGCCUUACUACACAAAGUCAACAUACGCAACACUACUUACUACACCAAGGAGCUGUUAAAUACUCGAUACCAAGGCCUCAGAGUACAACAGAAAAUUAUGCUGCUCCAAGUUUCUACACCGAUGUAUUACUCUGCCCCGAGUCACAUCAUGAAGCGCCUGAGUACUACACCGAGUCUUCCAAGUUCUACACCAUCAAAGCUCCAAGCUACACCACCGAGGCUACAGCUUAAUACACCACCAAGAGGUUGAAUACUACACCGAAGCAUCCAAGUACUUCACUACAACCUACUGCUGCCCAUUAUUCGUCUAACUGCCUCGUGUUAAAUCGGUUUCUAAUCAUAGAUAUCGCUGAUGUUGAUGUGUGUUUUGUUGAUGGCUGGGUUGAUCAAUGUUGUACUGAUGUCUCCUGGAAAUGGCUGAUACCAAACCACCACACCGCUGCCAAACUACACAACAACGAGGUCUCCAAGUACUACACCACUGUAGGACGGAAUAUUACAAGAUUAUGUAUGCUGCUCCUGCCUACUACACCAAGGCCCCUAAACUCUUACUGGUUGUCUACUAUAAUAUUGUGUCGGUCUUGUGUUACAUCCGUUUAGUGUAUAAUUCAGACUAUUUGAUGGUAUUUCGUUUCGCUAUGUGGAAUAUUGCAACUGAGGUUGGUGAAAGUUCUUUGACACGAAGUUAAAACUGCGGUUGUCUCAAGCGAUGUUAAGAAUAUUUACGGAAUACUUGAAACUGAAACCUGAAAUAACAUGUUGAAUUUUGAAAAAUUAAGUGCUAUUUCAUCUUGUCAUGUAUUAACUCAUUAAAAUAUACAAUAUACAAUCAAA